AUGAACGCUGGCGGCGUGCCUCAUACAUGCAGGUCGAGCGAACGGACGAGAAGCUUGCUUCUCUGAUGUUAGCGGCGGACGGGUGAGUAACACGUGGAUAACCUACCUAUAAGACUGGGAUAACUUCGGGAAACCGUAGCUAAUACCGGAUAAUAUUUUGAACCGCAUGGUUCAAAAGUGAAAGACGGUCUUGCUGUCACUUAUAGAUGGAUCCGCGCUGCAUUAGCUAGUUGGUAAGGUAACGGCUUACCAAGGCAACGAUGCAUAGCCGACCUGAGAGGGUGAUCGGCCACACUGGAACUGAGACACGGUCCAGACUCCUACGGGAGGCAGCAGUAGGGAAUCUUCCGCAAUGGGCGAAAGCCUGACGGAGCAACGCCGCGUGAGUGAUGAAGGUCUUCGGAUCGUAAAACUCUGUUAUUAGGGAAGAACAUAUGUGUAAGUAACUGUGCACAUCUUGACGGUACCUAAUCAGAAAGCCACGGCUAACUACGUG
rnacentral:rRNA from 1 species